CAUUCUUUCACGACGAGCAAUGUGUAUAGGCUGGUUUAGUGGAUUACUGUAGCUGUAAGUUUGAUUUUCACAUCUUCACCAUAUAUGGUCUGCAAGUAUCUAGCUAAGUAAUGGACGAGCCACCGCCAGUCAAGAAUGUAGUAUUUGAGAUAAAAUCAGAGCUAAUGGGUGGAGGCGAGUUUCCGAGAAGGGUCCAGCUGCUGCCGCACACGCCCGUGACGGAGGUUGACUCUUCCAAAUAUGGAUCGUUAUAGAAGAGACUUCGCACAAAACGUGAGGACGUUUAUCUCGGCUGCUCGGUGGGUGUUGAUGCUGAAAAAGAAAAGAUGGCGCAAGGAGCUCGGGUGAGAAUGCCACAAUAUGGUUAAUGAACACUUAUUGUUUUAUGUAUAUUUAUUAUUAGGUUGUUGUAUGUAUUAACGAUUUGGCUGUUUCGCGCACUGUAAAUAGUGUUAAUUUUGUAGAUUAUUUUUCAUUUUAAUCAAUUAGGCUUGCUACCGGUAAUCCCGUGCUUUAGGUCACAAUCUAGCCUUAGCGUUAUCAUAAGAAGUAAGGCUAACGUCAAGAUACGUCAAGUAUAAACUGUUUUUUUUAUAACGCCAGACUAUAUAGUUCUAUUGGAAACCAUGUGGCUUUAUUCACCAACAUACAUUAACACGGAUAAAACACCUAAAUUAAUCGUGACAGAAAACCCUCCAUAGUAUGUGACCUCUGAUUCGGCCUGCUGCCGCCCCUGUCCCUAUUUCUUUCUGAUAUUCAGUUCCACCAUUUCAUUAUUAGUUGAGUGUUAUUUUUGGUAUUGCAGUAGCUUUUAUAUUAGGGACCAGGAGAAUAGGUAAACUGUUGCAGAGUCCUGUAAGGACUUUGUGGCGCACCACUAGCUCAAUGUAUGGACACGAAUUGGGAAUAACCAUGUGAUGUGAAACCUCCUGCAACCUCUCCCUUUGAACUGAUACCCUUAUUUAGGGCCUGACUAACUCUGUGUGUAUGCGUGUGUAUGCGUGUGUAUGCGUGUGUCUGUGUGUGUCUGUGUAUGUCUGUGUGUGGCUGUGUCUGCAGUACUGUCAUCUACAUAUUCAAAUCCAGAUUAUAAAGCAGAGGAACCAAAGGUUGUUCUUAAUACUCUGUAUAGUUCUAAGAAUUGAUACGGUUUGCUUAGUUUAGUUUGAUAUUUAACUUAGCUAAAUGAUUUAUACCUGUGUGACAUAUUGCAACCCAUCCCUGUACCCAUCCCGUGUAUCAAGAUGUCUUUGAUUGUCUCUGUCUCUUCUAUACCUGCAUGUACUCAUCAUCCUUAUAUGAGGUAAGAAUAAGGCUAAAUAAUGUAUCACACCUUUAUUACUUCAGACAGAAAUAUGCAGUUUUUCCUGUGCUACAUGAGCAUGUGAGGUACCCCAUCGUACAAUUUGGAAGAAUAAAGUGCAUUUGCCCAAUAAACAUAAAAAUAUGGACUGAGGGGAUUAUGGACCGAAGUGUAUUAUGGGUUAUCCCAUUUGGGGUACAAUUGGGCAGUAAAACAUGUACAUUUGCCCAGCAAACCUCCAAAUUUGGACUCUGUGGAGUUUGGAUGGAAGUGUAUUAUGGAUAAUCCCAUUGGUCGUGCAAUUGGGCAGUAAAACAUGUACAUUUGACUAGCAAACAUCAAAAUUCUGACUCUGUUGGGUUUGGACCGAAGGUGCCAUUGGGUGUAUACAUUUGUGGUAAAACUGAACAUUUGCUGUGUAAAGCACAGUCACCUGCCCAGGACUUGCUGCCUGACUGGAAAACCGCUGACUGCAGAGCGGUGGAGCUCGGGGAGCCCCUAGAGCAUUUUCUGUGAAUUGCAGUUUGGCAGGAGGUCUGUACGGGAAGCCAGUAAUACUGGGCAUUUGGUGACAAAUUGGGAAGUAAAACCCUUUGAGUGAGUAUUGCGUCAAUGUACAAUGUUGGCCCAUUCAUUUUAUCCAAAAACUAGUAUUUUCCCUUCUCUUUCCAUACCUCUGUGAGUCAGCAUUCUCAACUUUGACUGCAAUGUAGACUAAGCACAGAGCUCGUUUGCAUGUGGAGAACAAUCUGAGUCUGCCAGUCAUCCAUCCCUCCAAGAGUGGAUGAACUGUGUGGUGAGAGAAUGGCAGAGCCAUCUCAUUAAGAAUGAAAUCAUUAAGUGAGUUACUGUGAACUGUGUGAGAUAAGAAUGUGACGUAUAGCCCUAAUGUACAAACUCUUCUAAAGUAAUAGGUUUAAUUACUAUGAUGUGUUCUGUAACACUGUUGAUAACUUAUUUUAUGAUUUGUUCAGAGCUUUUAGAAUUCAAAUAUUUCCAAUGGCAUCUAAGACUAAACAUUUUAGUAAGCACAUGCUUAAUCGGUAUUAAAAUCAUUAGGGGGUCCUUGAAAAAUGUUGUCCCCUGUAAGGGGUCCCUGGUCCAAAAAAGUUUGAGAACCCCUGAUGUAAUAAGUGCAACAAGUCUUUUAGAUUCCUUAUUUAAGCAGGAGUCUCCUACAACACAAUCGACCACUCAUCCUUGAGAUCCUUUCCACACAACAUUCCGUGUUUCGACAGUUACCCAAUUUGCUAACAUGGGUUGGAUCAAACAGCCGUAGUUGUGAAAUGUUGUGGCUCCGCCCCCUCUAGACUCUCAGAUCUAGAAUCUUGUCCUUCUGUCAGUGACCGAGCUGGGUAAGUGAUCUAAUCCCAAGUCUGGCGUGUAAAAACCGUUACAUUACUGCCUGCGAGGCAUCGAGAGGUGCGUAGCUGGCUCAACCCUUACACCGUAUACUACAGUGCGUUUAGUGUUGUGUAAAGACUGGUUGAAUUAUAACGCAAUAGCCUACUUUAUAGUUCCACUGGAAACCGAGUGGCUUUAUUAAUCGAUAUAAAGCAAGAUGGGGGAUAAAACACCGACAUUCAUCGUGACAGAAAACCCUCCGUGGUAUGUGACCUCUGAUUCCAAAUGUUUAUAGCUGUGAAAGCGAACAAGGACUGUUUGAUAACGUCGUCAACUUGUUGUGCAAACAAGAGGGACUAUCUGAAAGAGAGAAAAGCGGAAAAACAUCUAAAAGACUAUCAGGAGCCUUCGCGUUCGUUGUUGCUUGCGCUGAUGGACUAAUUGGACAUUGAAGGUGGAGACGACUUUGAGUCUAUGGCGAGUGUGGACAAGGCUGGUCUCAAACAUAUUCCAGUGGUUACGCAGGACUCUGAAAAACAACCUCGUCUAUUACGACAGCAGCAGGUCCACGAUCGGAACAUAUAGCAAGCCGUUUUAACAUGUAUUCGCUAGACUGGAUAUUUCUUACACAUGAAUGCAACAUAAUUUCGCCAAGUCAGAACUGCAAGAUAUCUAUAACGUCAUUAUGACUAGUCAAAACGACAAUUGAAGAUAUCUGUAAUUCUGUUUUGACUAGUCAGUUUUAAAUUACUAUUGCCAUUCAUGUCUAUGAGGUUUCUCAUUACAGAUAUCUUUAAAUGAAGUUGCAGAUAUCCGAAAUGUCUAUUGUUGAUAUAUUCAAACCAAUUAUGACUAUAGUAAUUACAGUUCCAGAUAUCUAUAAUUUAAUUCUGACCAGUCACGAUUCCAGUUCAAGAUAUCUUAAAUCCCCCUAAAUUUAAGAUAUAUAGAUCAUUAUUUUGCAAUAUCUUAAAUAAUGUUGUAAUUAGUCAUAAAUCAGUUGUAAAUAUCUUGAACUGGAAUUCUAACUAGUAUUAAUUAAAUUGAAGAUAUCUGAAACUGGAAUUACAGCCAGUCAUAAUGUAAUUGUAGAAAUCUAUUAUCAAGUUAUAGAUAUCUUUGAAUAUUUUUCAAAUUGGAGAUAUAUUUUACUUUCAUUCUGCCAAGUCAAAAUGUAAUUACAGAUAUCUGUAGUUACAUGUAGGAGUCAGGAGCGGGAGUAAGUGGCUUGCUUGUAUUCAAACAUAUGUAACUACUCUUCCACCGUAUGGCAAGCAUUAACCGCCAUGUCAGACCUGCGUGAAGCCGAAGUUCUAGUUUUUGAUAAAAUAUUUAUGGUUGCAGCCAGUGCACGACAGGCGCUUUUAGCAGGAAAUACAGGAGAUUUACUUUCUUUCAAAAGUCGAUAAAAAAAAAAUUUUUUUUACUAUCCACAACUGAAACUGCCAUUGCUGCUAACACCGAAAAGCGUUGCUGGGCCAAUAUGAUCUGAUGCCUCGCAUGAGAAACGUCAUGCAAAACAAUUCGAAAUAGUCAUAAGGACAUUUGAGAUAUCUACAACUAUAAUUUUGACUAGUCCAAACAAAAUUCUGCAAUUACCAUUUGGGAUGUAUGAAAGUCGAGUGUCGUUUUCAGUGAGGUCACUUCUGAUAUUUGUAAUUCAGUUUUGACUAGUCAAAAUAAAAUUACAGACAUCUUUAACUGUGUUUUGACUAGUCAGAAGAACGUUACGUAUAUCUUGAAUCAAAAUUUAGACUAGUCACAAUGUAAUUACGUCUAGUCAGUAUUACGGUGUUAAUAUCUGUCAUGUUAAUUUCAUAUAGUCAAGUCUAGCGAAUACAUUUUAAAAUGGCUUGCUAUUGGAACAAACACUUGUUAUCCCGACAACCGGAAAGAUUGAGCUGUGGGUGGAUAAAUGAGCCGUGUUUGGAUUGAUGAGCCGUGUGUGGAUAGAUGAGCCGUGUGUGGGUAGAUGAGCCAUGUGUGGGUAGAUGAGCCGUGUGUGGGUAGAUGAGCCGUGUGUGGGUAGAUGAGCCGUGUGUGGGUAUAUGAGCCGUGGUUGGACAUCCAACCAGUGUUGAGUUUACUGUUCAACGUUCUCUUAUCCAACCAAUGGUAAAUUAUCUAAUUCCAAGUCUGUCUUAUAAAAGCCCUUACACCAGCCACAUCGACGUUACAUCAUGCGAGGCUUCGAGAGGUGAGCGACUGCCUCAACCCAUAAACCGUAGACCACAGUGCAAGAGGGACUAUUUGAAACAUCUACAAGACAAUCAGUAGUAUGGGAAUCCGGGACGCUGACAUUAUAGAGCAAAACCCUUCAUGUUCGUUGUUGUUAGCGCUGAACCUAGAGCACAUUAAAGGUAGAAACAAACACGUUCUAGCCUAUCCAGUUGCUGAGCACCGAGGACAAAACCUCGUCUACUGAGAACAACAGUCACGCGCUGGUCUCCGAUGUAAAGGAUACACCCCAUGUGCUAGGCACGGCUUCGGCCGACAUUUUGAAUAAAAAACGUAAGGCCAGCGUGGAUUGUUUCACCGGAAACCAAAAUUACAUAUAGAGAAAACCCCUCGAAAAGAAGUCAAAGGACAAAAAAAGAUUAGAUUGAAACAGAUGAUGAAACUGUUAACUCUGUGAUGUAGGGAUAUUUUCAUGAAAUGUUAUUUCACAUUAACCUGAUGAGUAGACGAAACAUCUCAUGUGAUCACUUGUAUAUUCAUUGAGAGUUAAUUGAUGAAACAUUAAACCAGGGCUCAUAUUAUUAUCCCAAACAGUCUGUUUGUCUUUGAUUUUUCCACAUUUAAUUGUUAAGAGACCGAUGAACUACACUCUUGCUCUGGCUCCACUACCCAUGGUCAGUUCAAUGAGUGUUUGUUAUCUCAUAUUAAGGACAGAAGGACCUGUGGCUUGUCCUUGACUCUCUUGGGAAAAUGAGUGAGCUCAUAGAUCAAAGAAUCCUUGACUUAGGGAAUAUGCUGAGUAAUGAUGAGUAGUGGCUUGGUGAGCGAAUCCCAGAUUGUUGUGAAACAUUGAUGGAAGAAACAGAAAUGAGCUUAAUGAGGGGUCUGCAGAGCAAGGCAAAGUUAA